rnacentral:rRNA from 1 species
UAUACACCGCCCGUCACACCAUGGAAGUUGGCUGCACCAGAAGUAGGUAGUCUAACCGCAAGGGGGACGCUUACCACGGUGUGGUCAAUGACUGGGGUG